rnacentral:lncRNA from 1 species
CAGCAAGACGCGAUGCCAGGGAAAUCACCAAAAAACCGGGGCAGAAAAUUUUCUGCCAAUUGUCAAAAAUUUUCUCGGAAGAACGAGGAAACAAUUUCAAUACAUUAUGUUCUAGGUCGCCCACCAGUAAAAUGCGGGAAUACUUUUAAGUUCUAGGUUGCCCACCAGUACAAUGAGGGAAUACAUUUAAGUUCUAGGUCACCCACCAGUAAAAUACGGGAAUACAUUUAAGUUCUAGGUCGCCCACCAGUAAAAUGCGGGAAUACAUUUAAGUUCUAGGUCGCCCACCAGUAAAAUGCGGGAGUACAUUUAAGUUCUAGGUCGCCCACCAGUAAAAUGCGGGAGUACAUUUAAGUUCUAGGUCGCCCACCAGUAAAAUGCGGGAAUUCUUUAAGUUCUAGGUCGCCCACCAGUAAAAUGCGGGAAUACAUUUAAGUUCUAGGUCGCCCACCAGUAAAAUGCGGGAAUACAUUUAAGUUCUAGGUCGCCCACCAGUAAAAUGCGGGAAUACUUUUCAGCUCUAGAUAUUGGAAUCAGUAACCCCACCUGAAGGCGGAAGGUUACAACAGAGAUCCCCAAGCAGGAAACAAUAAAAUCCCCAGCACCAAGAAGCAGAAGGCUGCAAAGGCAAGCGCGCGAUUCAAAAGGAAGAAGGAACGCGUCUCAAAAGAAGCAGUUUGGGAAUGUUAUAGCAUGCCCAACAUAACAAUUUUGAUGAAGAAAGCCAUACCACUGAAGAAACCAUUGAAAGGAUUAAAGAAGAGGGCCAUGUUCCCAGCAGAUCAAGCGAAGUGAUGAAAACUGGCAUUCAGAAAAGGCGAAGGACCAGUAU